rnacentral:rRNA from 1 species
UACGAAGGGUGCAAACGUUGUUCGGAUUCAUUGGGCGUAAAGGGUGCGUAGGCGGCGCGGUAAGUCGGGUGUGAAAUCUCGGAGCUUAACUCCGAAACUGCAUUCGAUACUGCCGUGCUUGAGGACUGGAGAGGAGACUGGAAUUUACGGUGUAGCGGUGAAAUGCGUAGAUAUCGUAAGGAAGACCAGUGGCGAAGGCGGGUCUCUGGACAGUUCCUGACGCUGAGGCACGAAGGCCAGGGGAGCAAACGGG